AUAAGGAGCCUUGCCCUCCUUGCUGCCAUUCUCCUGGUGGCCCUGCAGGCUCGGGCGGAGCCACUCCAGGCAAUUGCUGAUGAGGCUACAGCCCAGGAGCAGCCUGGAGCAGAUGAUCAGGAAGUGGUUGAUUCCUUUGCAUGGGAUGAAAGAGCUCCUCUUCAGGUUUCAGGCUCAAGGAGGGGCUUGACCUGCACCUGCAGAUGAGAUUCCUACAGUCCUGGAGAACACCGUAGAGGGACUUGCAGUGCUCCUGGAGUACGCUACCCAUACUGCUUCAGCUGA